GAUGAAGAACGCAGCGAAAUGCGAUACGUAAUGUGAAUUGCAGAAUUCAGUGAAUCAUCGAAUCUUUGAACGCAUAUUGCGCUCUUUGGUAUUCCGAAGAGCAUGCUUGUUUGAGUAUCAGUAAACACCUCAACCUCUUCUUGAUUUUUCAAAAGGAGGGUGGACUUGAGCUAUCCCAACAACCUUUACCGGUCGGCGGGCGGCUUGAAAUGCAGGUGCAGCUGGACUUUUAUCUGAGCUAAAAGCAUAUCUAUUUAGUCCUCGUCAAACAGGAUUAUUACUUUUGCUGCAGCUAACAUAAAGGAUAAUUGUCCUCUUUGCUGACUGAUGCAGGAUUUUACGACACUUUAUGUGUUGUUCAACUCGAUCUCAAAUCAAGUAAGACAACCCGCUGAACUUAAGCAUAUCAAUAAGCGGAGGA
rnacentral:misc_RNA from 1 species